GUCCAAGUAAUUUAACAAAAAUAUUGGUCUGUAAGCCAACAAUGAAGGCUACCUCCUCCUAGGACA
rnacentral:tRNA from 1 species